rnacentral:lncRNA from 1 species
AUUAGGGCAUAAAAUAAUAAGAUAUGUGAAACUCAUGCUCUUCUUGUUCUUCUUUUUAAACCAUUACACCCUGACUAUAAAGAAAACUCAAAACCCUAAUUGUUUAAGAUUUUCUUUUUACCUAUGACGGCGUGAGUAGGAGAUCAAGAAGAUGAAGAGCAAAUCACGAGUCCCAAGCAAAGCAAAAAAAAAAAAAUGAAGAUGAAGGAGAAAUUCUUGAGAAAAUUUGAAAAACUUGAAGUAAGAGAUGAUUGUUUGGUUUUGUUGAGAGAACCGAGAAAGAGACCAUUUUGAUUUAAGAGGGUCAACUGGGGGUCCAAUAGUGGGGAUUGAGAUGUUUUUGUAUUUUAUAAAAUAUUAAGAAGUUUAAGAAUUACGUUUCACACCCGUUUAACUUAAUCUCCUAAUCAGUAGAAGGUUUGACUUGGGCUUAGUCAAAUUGUCAUAUUUUUGUAAGUAUAACUUACAUAAAUCUCAUAGUGUACGGAGU